rnacentral:rRNA from 1 species
CCUACGGGUGGCAGCAGUGAGGAAUAUUGGUCAAUGGGCGUAAGCCUGAACCAGCCAAGUCGCGUGAGGGAUGACGGCCCUAUGGAUUGUAAACCUCUUUUAUAAGGGAAUAAAGGGCGGGACGUGUCCCGUUUUGUAUUUACCUUAUGAAUAAGGAGCGGCUAACUCCGUGUCAGCAGCCGCGGUAAUACGGAGGAUCCGAGCGUUAUCCGGAUUUAUUGGGUUUAAAGGGUGCGUAGGCGGCCUGUUAAGUCAGCUGUGAAAGUCUGCGGCUCAACCAUAGAAUUGCAGUUGAAACUGGGAGGCUUGAGUAUGUUUGAGGCAGGCGGAAUGCGUGGUGUAGCGGUGAAAUGCUUAGAUAUCACGAAGAACCCCGAUUGCGAAGGCAGCCGGCCAAGCCGUGACUGACGCUGAUGCACGAAAGCGUGGGGAUCAAACAGGAUUAGAUACCCGUGUAGUC